CCGCGCUGCGCGGAACUGACGUCACGCUCCCGCUCGGUAUUUGCACAGCCAGGACUACCAGCCCCGGGAGGCAGUAUGUCCUAGUGGAUAGAGCACAAGACAAGGCUGGGACUCAGAAUACCUAUACUCUAUUCCAAGCUCCGCUACUGACCUACUGGGUGAUCUUGGACAACUCACUUCACCUCUCUGUGGUUCAGUUCCCCCCUCCGUAAAAUGGGGAUAAUCAUACUGACCUCCUUUAUGAAAUGCUUUGAGAUCUACUGAUGAAAGGCGCUACGUAAGAGGCUUAAGAACAUAAGAAUGUCCAUAGUGGGUCAGACCAAAGGUCCAUCCAGCCCAGUAUCCUGUCUACCAACAGUGGCCAAUGCCAGGUGCCCCAGAGGGAGUGAACCUAACAGGUAAUGAUCAAGUAAUCUCUCUCCUGCCAUCCAUUACCACCCUCUGACAAACAGAGCUAGGGACACCAUUCCUUACCCAUCCUGGCUAAUAGCCAUUAAUGGACUUAACCUCCAUGAAUUUAUCUAGUUCUCUUUUAAACCCUGUUAUAGUUCUAGCCUUCACAACCUCCUCAGGCAAGGAGUUCCACAGGUUGGGACCCGUUCCAAACCCCUAAUCAUUUUAGUUGCCCUUCUCUGAACCUUUUCUAAUGCCAGUAUAUCUUUUUUGA